rnacentral:rRNA from 1 species
UGACGGUACCUGCAGAAGAAGCGCCGGCUAACUACGUGCCAGCAGCCGCGGUAAUACGUAGGGCGCGAGCGUUGUCCGGAAUUAUUGGGCGUAAAGAGCUCGUAGGCGGCUUGUCACGUCGGGUGUGAAAGCCCGGGGCUUAACCCCGGGUCUGCAUUCGAUACGGGCUGGCUAGAGUGUGGUAGGGGAGAUCGGAAUUCCUGGUGUAGCGGUGAAAUGCGCAGAUAUCAGGAGGAACACCGGUGGCGAAGGCGGAUCUCUGGGCCAUUACUGACGCUGAGGAGCGAAAGCGUGGGGAGCGAACAGGAUUAGAUACCCUGGUAGUCCACGCCGUAAACGGUGGGCACUAGGUGUUGGCGACAUUCCACGUCGUCGGUGCCGCAGCUAACGCAUUAAGUGCCCCGCCUGGGGAGUACGGCCGCAAGGCUAAAACUCAAAGGAAUUGACGGGGGCCCGCACAAGCAGCGGAGCAUGUGGCUUAAUUCGACGCAACGCGAAGAACCUUACCAAGGCUUGACAUACGCCGGAAAACCCUGGAGACAGGCGCCCCCUUGUGGCCGGUGUACAGGUGGUGCAUGGCUG